GAAGCUGGUACGAAGAACUUUCCUCAGGUUUAAUAGAGGCCUCUGUCUGUUCCAAGGUCAAACAGAGUCCCCUCCCGAAAUGACAAAUACAAAAUGUGGAAAUAAUUCUAAGUACGUUUGCAUUGCUAAACGCCGUCAAAUGUAGGCCCUUCUACGUAAAUAACACUUGAAAACUCGAGCUAUAAAUAUCGGAGAAAUAAAUACAGAAAUUAGCUUUGUUUUUGCCAAGCUCAAGAUUUAUUUGUGGCAAAUUUGGGGCGAGAGCUUUUCGGCAGCACGUGUGCGACGCUUCGCGCAAAUCAAUAUAAAUAAUCUGCGAUAACAAAAACAAUGCCAACUCAAUCGAAAUUUAACAACCAACUCAACCAUAAACAAGUUUCAACGCGAUUACGGCUCUCAAUGUCUAGAUUGCACACACGCAAACGGUAAACCAUUGGCCAUUUUCCGUUUUAUUGUUCGAGAUACAGCAAAGGCAUGUUUUAAAACUAACCUAUUGCGGCAAUCACAUGGCACCGCCAAGUAAUAUAAUACGGCACACAAAUAUGAUACAUACAUAUGCAGGUAGAAAUGGGCUAUUUGUCCCUGCAGAGCCCCGUGCAGCAACUAAAUAAACAAAGCAUUGUAGAACCCGAUGCAGAUUAGAUCUCUAGAUAAAUCGCAUGUGUAACAUUGUCAAACAGAUGACAGCGUGACAGCGUCCGCAAAUAUUGGAGGAGCAGUGCUGUGCUCCGAGAUAGGGAAUUUCAGCACCGAGUGCAAACAUGCUUAAGACGCAAUAAAAAGAGGCUAAAUAUGCAAACAAACCGUGGAGAUUUAACACAAAAGCAGUGUCACAAAGCAAAGAAGCCCGAUAUUUUAUUGCGGGCCCAAAACAACAGGAGCGAUAAGAACGAUUACUUGUUGCUCCUAUGAUUAGAUUAAAACGUGUAAGCUGAGAGGUUGCUUAUGGUGGCGGGAAAUCGAAACACCACCCCCGGACACCCUUAACGAAGCAUCUAGAAGCGAACACGCUGGGCUGGCUCUGGCUAGCGGUGACCUAAAAUCGGGAGAGCUCUUUGUUGGUUGUUUGCCUGUUCAUGUUCUCGCUGUCUCGCUUGCACGCGCAGUAAAGCAUCAAGUGCAAUGGCGAAUCGAAUGGAAUUUUCCCUUGUUUAUUGUACGUGUGUGUGCGUGCAUUUUGUGACAUAAUAAAAGCGCGAGUCUGAUGGAGCCUAAGUGCUGUUGUUUCUUCUACCGUCUGUAACUGUAAAGUCAGGAGACUUUCAAUUGCUUGCUUCUGUUCACAUAAUUCCAAUUAGAAGCGAAAGGGAAGCAAGUAAACAAAAAAUAACAGCGCAUAUGUGUGGAGCAUGUGCGAGGCGUUGCCAUAUUGUUCAGAAUGGAUUGGCGACUAAAGUACUUAAUUGUUAUAUAAUCUCGAAUAAGCAGACAACGGAAUUAGAAUAAAUCGAACUAACUAUAAUAAGAAAAAAUAAACAGGAAAACAGAUAGAUCUCCCAAAGACCGACGCUGUAAACAGGGUGGCAACCACGCAGGCGACCACGAAAAGAUGACUGGAAAAGAAAAUAAAUAUCGCAAAACAUAGUUAAAAAGCAGAAAGCAGAAAGGCGUUUUUCUUAAACGAAUUAUUUACUUUACUUACGAAACAUGCUACAAUCAUUUGUGUGUACAAGAUUGGCAGAUUUCUUUACUCAUUUCUUCCAUUGUUCUUCUUAAUUUGUUAUUGCUGUGUGCGUCACACAUUCUUAAAAAGUACCAACACUUAUGUAGAUUGGUUACACCAGCUACUUCACUACAAACCACUACAACCAUAGCUACAUGCCACAAAUUGGAAAGGGGUCGUGGCGCACUGUUUUACAUUAUCUUUCAUUUUGCACUACAAAAUCGAUUUAUGCACACUUUCUUCUGUAUGGCACCUUGGAACCAUUACUUACAGUUUAUUAUUCAUACUUGAUGGCAUUUUUACACUUAAUGGUUGCAACUUAAAGCACAAAGAACGAUUGAAAUGAUAUAAAACUGAAGUUUUGAUACGGAAAAAUUCGCUGUUCAGUUCAGUUGGAAAAACUGCCUACGAAAACGUAGCACCUGCCUUGAUGUCCACAAAAACACUUGGAAGAUUUUGAUAGCCUCACAAUGGUUGCUUUGCUUGAUGUCAGUGUCGAUAAAAUAUAAAA